GAUUUUUCCCAAAUUUCCCCCCUAAAACCCCUAACUUUGCAAACAAAAUGAAAAAAAGAAGAGGAAAAUGGAGGUACCAAAGACGAUUCAGCACAGAACCUCUCCAAUCUACUUACGAGUUCUACCGUUUGUUUCCCUGGAAAAUAUAUGAGACUUAAUAUUUUUAUUUUGUUAGUUUAUUUGUGUGUGUAUUUCAUCUUGUUGUGUUCAUUACUCAGAUCCCUAUCGCUUUUAUUUCUGUUCCAUUUUUCCUCUUUAUUUUCUAAUUGUGGGUAUUAUUUACUCAGAUCCCCUUUCUUUUUAUUAUUGUUUUUUUUUUCUCUUAUAUUUUAGCUAGAAAUCGACGAUGCCAGAAGAAGCUAGAAAUCGACGAUGCAAGUUACUACUGGUCUCAUUGCUGCUGGUAACAAGUUAUUGCUUAAAAUUCAUGGUAACAAAUCUACUUCAAAGGAAGUUAUUCAUAUUCCUUCGUAUAGAAGCGAAGUUGUUUACGGUGGAACUUAGUUCUCCAGCUCUCGUAAGUUUGUUCCCAGUUUUGUAUUUGCCAUCUAUACCAGGUUUACCUCUCUUGCUUCUCUUCGUCUUCAUCUCCCUUUCAUUUAUUCUACCAAAAACGCCUCUUACUUGUCAUUUUUUUUCUCACAUAUCGUGCAAGACUCAUUUUUCUUUCUUUAUGCUCUAGUCUUAACAAUGCACUUCAACUGUUCGAUAUAAUGCUUCUUUAUACAAUUUGUUUCUGGCUUUCAGGGGGUGUUGUCUGUAAGAUGUUGAAGCAAGCGAUAUGGAAGGUGUUGAGCAAAAGGGUAGUUUCAGAUUCUGGUGAUAAACUUCUUUUGCCUUGUUUGUACUUGCCCAUGACUUCUUUUCACGCUGGACAGGGGCUGUACAUGAUUGUCUUUACAAGUCACCCUUGAAAUUAUAACAACAAUUGGUUUAUGAAUUUGGCAGAUACAUUAACAGUUGUGCAUUAAGUGGUGAGAUCCCCUCAACAUUUGCUAAACUUAAAGAACUGCGAACUAUGUAAGAAAGACUCCCUAAUGUUUAUAUAGGAGAUUUCAAGGGAACUCUUUUGAAGGUCCAAUACCAUCCAGUUUAGGAAAUCUAACCUCAUUGACUUCUUUGGACCAAAUAGAGAGCACAAGUGAGAGCGAAUGCAGUGCAAGUGAUGAAGUGCUUGUUGUUCCUUAUGAUAACUUAGCACCUAUGUCUUGUGAUAUUACUGAAUCUAAGUAGCUUUUGGAUAAGCUAGUUGCGGUGAAGUAUAAUGGAGCUUUAGGAAAGAAUAUGGGUUUCGGUGGUCCCGAGUAAGCAAUUAUCUAACUUCUGGAAGUUUGAUACUUAUUUUUUUUCCAAGAAAAGAGAAGCAUUUCUUGAUGAUUCCAUAGUUAUAUAUUAAAGACUUGCCUCUACAUAAAUGAAUAUAGUUUCUGUGACAUACAUAUAUUUAUAUAUGCUUUUUAUAUAUGCCUCUACAUUCAUAUAUUUAUAUAUGCUUUUUAUAUUGUAUUAUGACAAAUAAAGAGAAUAAAAGUUUUAAUUAUUGAUAGAUUCUGCUGCUUUUUUAUGUACUUUUUAUUAAAUCACUCUUUAAUCAAAUGUAGAAUUAUAAAAUUAUUAAAUUUUACUAUAAAUAAUUAUCCUUAUAUAAUUAAUCAUUUUAGUAAAUUCUCCAACUAUCAAAAUAGAUCACUCCACCAUCCCACGUCAAAAUUUUGUUAAGGGUAGGACUUGAGAGAGGUAGAUACUUUGAUGAAUAUUUUCUUUUACAUGAUAAUUAUAUACUUCUUUAAGUUUGUUUUGGAUGUUGGGACAAUGUCAGUUGAUGCCGAAAUUUGAUAGUGCUGCAAAUUGAAGUGUUUAAGUGCUGCAAAUUGAAGUAUUUAGUUGCUGGAAAUUGAGAUGUUUUAUCGCUGUAAUUGAGGUGUAUAAAUGUUGUUAAUUGAUAUGUUUAAGUGCUGUAAAUUUAAGUGUUUAAAUGUUGUAAAUUGAAGUGUUUAAGUGCUGCAAAUUGAAGUGUUUAGUUGCUGGAAAUUGAGAUGUUUUAUCGCUGUAAUUGAGGUGUAUAAAUGUUGUUAAUUGAUAUGUUAAGUGCUGCAAAUUUAAGUGUUUAAAUGCUGUAAAUUGAAGUGUUUAAGUGCUGCAAAUUGAAGUAUUUAGUUGCUGGAAAUUGAGAUGUUUUAUCGCUGUAAUUGAGGUGUAUAAAUGUUGUUAAUUGAUAUGUUUAAGUGCUGCAAAUUGAAGUGUUUAGUUGCUGCAAAUUGAGAUGUUUUAUCGCUGUAAAUUGAAGUGUUAAAGUGCUACUUUCCAUUGUCACCUCCCCCAUUUCCUUAUGCAUCAAUAACUAUAUUAAUGAAAUCAAGUACUAC